AAAUAUGAAACAAUCUAUUGUUUUUAAUUUCGACUUAAACCUAUGAAUAUCUUUAUUCCAUAUUUA
rnacentral:tRNA from 1 species